rnacentral:rRNA from 1 species
AGUGGGGAAUCUUGCGCAAUGGGCGAAAGCCUGACGCAGCCAUGCCGCGUGAAUGAUGAAGGUCUUAGGAUUGUAAAAUUCUUUCACCGGGGACGAUAAUGACGGUACCCGGAGAAGAAGCCCCGGCUAACUUCGUGCCAGCAGCCGCGGUAAUACGAAGGGGGCUAGCGUUGCUCGGAAUUACUGGGCGUAAAGGGCGCGUAGGCGGACAGUUUAGUCAGAGGUGAAAGCCCAGGGCUCAACCUUGGAAUUGCCUUUGAUACUGGCUGUCUUGAGUACGGGAGAGGUGAGUGGAACUCCGAGUGUAGAGGUGAAAUUCGUAGAUAUUCGGAAGAACACCAGUGGCGAAGGCGACUCACUGGCCCGUUACUGACGCUGAGGCGCGAAAGCGUGGGGAGCAAACAGGAUUAGAUACCCUGGUAGUCCACGCCGUAAACGAUGAGUGCUAGUUGUCGGCAUGCAUGCAUGUCGGUGACGCAGCUAACGCAUUAAGCACUCCGCCUGGGGAGUACGGUCGCAAGAUUAAAACUCAAAGGAAUUGACGGG